AUCAGAGCAUUCCAUGUCAUACC
rnacentral:siRNA from 1 species